rnacentral:rRNA from 1 species
GAAUAUUGGACAAUGGGGGCAACCCUGAUCCAGCCAUGCCGCGUGUAUGAAGAAGGCCUUCGGGUUGUAAAGUACUUUCAGGGGUGAGGAAGGGUGAGUCGUUAAUAGCGGCGCGCAUUGGCGUUAGCCACAGAAGAAGCACCGCCCAACUCCGUGCCAGCAGCCGCGGUAAUACGGAGGGUGCGAGCGUUAAUCGGAAUUACUGGGCGUAAAGCGCGCGUAGGCGGUUAUACAAGCGAGAUGUGAAAUUCCCGGGCUUAACCUGGGGACUGCAUUUCGAACUGUAUGGCUAGAGUUUUGGAGAGGAGAGUAGAAUUCCCAGUGUAGCGGUGAAAUGCGUAGAGAUUGGGAGGAAUACCAGUGGCGAAGGCGGCUCUCUGGCCAAAAACUGACGCUGAGGUGCGAAAGCGUGGGGAUCAAACAGG